GGGGGAAUGUAAUACGUUUUAUUUUUUUAUUUUUUUUAUCGCAGUUUUCAAAUGCGAGCCUGAACUCGUGCUGUGUGGGUGAUCACCGACCCUUGCAUUGCGAGAUGCCGUAGUCUUCUUUUUCAUGGCGCUACAUGAUCUGUGGUCCAUCACCCAGACUGAAGAAUGGCAAUCAUCUCAGGAACACGAAUGGUGGCAGUGAGCUCAUGGCAGCAAUCAACCCAAUCGUGAUGAUCACUCGAGUCUCCGAAAUCAUAAGCUUGAAUUUGGAACACCUGUGAGAGUCACGUUCUUUUGAUUGGAAACAUGCUAUAUUUCUGCUGACUAUUUCAGCAAUUACAGCCCGCCGGGUACAAAUGUUACUUCGGCUAAUCAUAACAACGAAUCGUUGAGUGGUCAAAGUAAUAUAUUGAACUUCACCUGUGAAAGCGAAACGUGAGAUAACGUCUGGUGUACUCCAAGACUAGGGGGCUAAACAUAGUUACUGCCAGCAUUCCGUUCGCGGACACAUUACAGAGAGUACCUCUAAGAUUAUGAGUUUCUAGCUUGCAGGAGGCGAUCAAAUUAUUCUCAUGUACAAAUCUCAAACUCCCCGCCUAAGUAACUUGUUGAGUUCGAGACACAGCUCCAAGCGACCGCCAGUGUCGUACCCAAACAACUUUUGCGAGAAAAGCCCAUUAACCUGAUAAUUAAGUUUCCUGUGGCUUGGAGAGAAAGGAAAAUAAGGGGGUUUAACGAAAAAAAUAAAAACAGAAAAAUAGAAAAUCCGUUCGCGUCGGGAUGUACUUGUAACCUGUAACAACCAUGAAGUCAGGAGAGGGACGGACAAAGACCUUUACCGUCCAUGAUGGGUAUACACACCCCACGGCACAUGGAAGGUCGAGCGACAAGCAUCGUGAACAUCGUAAUUCCGGGAGUAAAAAGACCAGCGCACCUGUCACAGUCGCUCGUUGAAAUAUACACGAUGUAUACGUCUGCCGGCGCUAAUCGGGGUUACCUUUCUCGAGAUUGGAAGGCUGCCAGUGUGCGGGGGUCUAUUUGUGGAAUUAUCUGGUCCGCCAGAAUUUGAACCUAAAAGAUACACCCGUCGUUUCCAUGUAGGCAGGUCGACCAGGUCACCGCAAGCGCCAGGUUCGUGGAACGAGUGAAUACCACUAUCUCCAAGAGCCUUGAAAGCUGAAGUUACUAGCUCGAUUGCCGUUUGGACAACGGUAAUAUUGCCGUAACUGGCCGUGGAUUUUAACCACCGCGAAAUGAACGCCUAAUCUGAUUUGGCAACAUUGAACAUCUCCAUGUUCAUAUUUAUUUCAAAGAAAAGAACAGGAGGUAUCGCUGCAGAUACAGUAAUGAGAAAACGUACAUAGACACCAGCUGAUAUGCUCAUCAACUCGGUCCGGAGUUGCCGGGGUAGGGAUUGGUCAGAUGAAUCCCGUGCUUCUGACAGACCCAACUGACUCUCCCAACCUCAAAUGUGGAAGAUCCUGAAACCCACCAGUCCCGGGUUGAAUUCAACCGCAGCGUCAAUAUACUGAAGAUUCAGACCUCUGUGGUUAUCCACUCCACUGUAACAGCAACUAACUAUUCACGAAUCCUAAACUUUCACAUUAUGGCGACUGUUAAAAGUUGAUCGAUUUGCAGAAGUUUUUGUAUUUUCAAUCAUGUACAGUAAGAGAGAAAGGAUGAGAUGUACUCUGAAGCAACUGAUGUACAUUGUGGAGUAAACCAGAGCAUGUAAACCACAAGAAGGGACUCACGGUGUAAGUUACCAAUGGGUGAAAAAAAGAGGCUACACAAAUCCAGCAUCUAAGUGAAUGCUACCGCAUACAUACUGUACAUGGUAGGGAACCAGCUUAAUCGCUAUCGGUCAGAGCAGACUUGCUUCAGGAAGGACAGUAAUAGUACGGUCGGGGAUGGGAGAAAAGAACACCAUGAAGGUUGAUAAAUCCAUUGACGGAAACUGGUCUUUGGGUAGUCAAAGGCAAGUGAAGUUUGAAGAGUCUAGAGAGUCUGUCCUGCGGUGGUGGACCUUCGGUGACACAGCACAUGGCAGACCAGUGCUUCUCACGCCUGUUGCUAACGGUGUCCUUCGCUAAGCCACCUUCUGACAUCUUCGCCCCUCCCUCUCUUCCUCUCUCCCUCCCUCCCUCCCUCCCUCCCUCCCUCUCUCAUUUGUGAUAGGAAGGAUUAAUCUUUGAUUCGUCUCUGCUUCAAUCUGAGGUCGAAAAUGAGUUCAAUUUGUUGCUGUACAGGCGAAGUACACCUACACGUGCCCACGUAACCUUCUACACAUGUAAGUAAUUUCAACCGUACUAGUUGACAUUUUACCCUUUUAACCAACUUUGAUCUUCGACUUCAACAUAAUGUGAGAUUGCCAAAGGACUGUGUACACCGAAUCUUUGAAGUAUCUACCAAAGCAUCCAAAGCCUCCAUCAGGUCCCGAUCCAAAGCUGAAUUUUUACGAGACUGUUGGAAGACAUUAUGCUGGGGUGUGUGAGUGUGAAUGUGUAAGUGUGUGUGUUACAAUCAAGUCCAGGAUGGUAUCACUGCAGUACACUGAUGAGCCUCCCACUCUCUGCUGCUGGGAAUCUACCAAUCUGCCCUUGUAGUAAAACCAAGGGAACAUAUCUGGCACAUUCACACUGUCACCAGUGUCAGAAGUGCACAGUCAACAGUUUUUCGUAAACCUUGCAGCCACAGGACUGUCAUUCCGGUCAGGAGCUUGGGCCUCUCCGAAACCAUACCUGGACAGUCAAGGCAGAGCCUGCAAUAUGCUCUUUGACUCCUCCCCCUAAUGCCAGUGCGUACGAAGCAGCCUUCAUGGUUGUGGGCACUCAGGAGUUUGCUGCCAAAUCACCUCAACGAAUUGCGCUAGAUUCACACAGAUAAUAAAGCGGAACGCGUGAAGAAGAGCUGUGAAUCGUGAUUGGAAUUUCCAGAGUACUGGAAUGGUAUCCCUUGGCAAGUACUGGGGAAGAUAUGGAGUACCACCCUUUUGCUUUGAUAACAAGGCCUGUGUUGGUGAAACACAAUCAAAACAUAAGCUGGCGCAUGAUGCGUCGGUUGUGCUCGCACACAUGGGAGUGUUAUCAUUCUGCGUGCAGGAACACACGAUUGAACAAGAACCCUAAACGUCACCGACUUUGAAUCUGCACAGUAAAGUCAUGAUUCCAUGUUCUCUUUCUCUCCUUUCUUUCCUCGUUUUUCAACCUGGUUACACAACUGAUUUGGCCACCAAGGCCUCAAUCUCCAUGAAUGCGUUAGAGCUCUUCACUCCGACGCUGGAGCUCCACGGCCGGUAUGUUGUUGAAAACUGAAGGCCCACUCAGCCGCCAUAGUCAGAGGUUUCACGUUCAAUGUGCAUUAUGAAUCAAUUUGCAAGUACUGAACACUAAUUUGUACUUUGCAACCGAUUUUGGUUGGUCUCUAACACUCUGCUAAACAAGUUUAGGAUUUGUAAUAUCAAAUUUUGUUUUAGGAUUUUAGGUUGGAAAAUUAGAGAAACUUUAGAUAGAAAUUCAAAUUGUAACCAGUGGUUAUGUGGUAAUAAUCAAAAUAUUGAAGCAUAUAGGGCUUGUUAUAUUAAGUCCACUAGUUGGCACAAAAUUAUGCACAAGUUGUAUCACUCAUUAUGAACAAGAAAAGUAUAUGGUUCAAAUUGAGUCAAUGCAAUGAUCAAAUCACUCAAAUCAAGCAUGUUGGUAGAAACUUGACAAAAAUUUGAAAGAAGAUGAAGAGACUACUUUUUUUAUAAGCAAUUUAGAAGAGAAGUUUGGAUUUUCAAAAUAUUUCAAAAGUUUAUUAUGAUAGAAUUCUAAUUCUGUUUUUCAAGUUGAUUUAUAAAUAUGAAAAUAAAAUUUAAUUUAUUUGAAAUAUUUUUCAAAUUGUUAUUAAUUUUUCUGGAAGUAAAUUUUUAAAUUCAUCUUUUAAACAAAGAUUUUUAAUUUUACAAAAAAAAAUAAAAAAUAAAAAAUAGUCAUAUAUCGAGAUUAGAAUGCCUCUAAGAAAAAUUCCAAUUUUUAAUCAAAAUCCAUGUUUUAAAAAAAAUUACUAUAACUUUUUAAUUUCUACAAACCUCUUUUGAUAUAUGUAUUAUUUAAGAAUGUAUGUUAGAUUUUUCAUAGAUGUAAUUUAAGACUUUUAUAAAUCUAUGAUCAAAAUUACAAAUUUGAUAAUAUUUUAGAAAAAUUUAAAUAUAUAUUUUUUAUGAUUUGUAAGACUUUUGUUAAAUAAAUAGAUGUUUGAUAGAUAAGAUAAUUAAAAUAAUAAAGAAUAAAAAAUCUAUUAGAUGUAAUCAUCAAAUUUGUAUUGUAAUUAUUUUUAGAAGAAGUAUAUAUAUAUAUAUAUAUAUAUAUAUAUUAUAAAAAUAAAAUAAAAUAAAAUAGUAUCAAUAGAUUGAUAUUUUUUAGCUAUUGAAUUCAAAUAUUGUUUUAACACAAGUCAUAAGAUCAAAAUUAUUUAACAUUAUUUAAUUCAUAAAAUUCUAAGCAUUACUAGAUUUUGGUUGGAUUCUAAAAGCAACUACCAAUAAAUAUGAUAGCUUAUCUAAUCUACAUACAUCAACCUCAAAUAUCAAAUUUUGUUUAAACUUUUUAUAUUUUCACAUAUUCAAAAUUAAACUAUAAAAAAGUGAUAUAUUAGACAUAGUUCUUAGUCAAUCUACUUCUAAUAUAAGCUAGAAUGGCUUACAAGAAAUGAUAAUAUAUAUAUAUAUAUAUAUAUAUAUAUAUAUUUCAUUAAAACAAAAUCUCUGAAUAAAAUGAACAAUAAUAAUGAAAAAUUUAAAAUAAGUUCAAGUAUAGUACAAAAGAUGCUUUUAGAAUAGCUACUAUUGUAAAUUUAGAAGUAUAAUACCUCAAAAAACUAAUAGUCAUCUAUACUUUUUUUUAGUUAUGGAUAGAUUUGAUGUAAGCUAAGUUCUUAAAAUACAAUUUAUCUUAUAUCAAAAAUCUAUUUAAAUUCUAAAAUAUAAAAUAAAAACUAACAACCACUACUUAUUAAAAAUGUUCCACAACUUCAAACAAUUAUUAUUUUAUUUUAUUUUAUUUUAUUAUCUAUAAUAUCAAAUUAAAUAUUUUAAAUGAAACUAAAAAAUUAUUUAAAUAUGAUUUUUAAAUAAAAAAAUAAAAUAUUCUAUUAAAUUAUAGAUAAAAAUUAUUUUAAUAUAAAAAUAUAAUAUAUUUCAACCGCAACUUAUUUUGCAUUUAACUAAAGCAAGAUAAAGUUAUAAAAAAAACCUAUGAUUUUUAAUUUAUUAUUUAAAAAAAUAAUAAAUUACAAAAAUAAUUUUAUAAGGUUCUUUUGUAAUAUCCAAUAUAUUAUUAGAUAUUCUAUAUUUACAUUCUUUUAAGGAAACUUGAUCCUAUGGAUGUCAACAUUGACAUUAAUAAUUAAAAAGAUAUGAAGAAUUAAGUAGAAGUAACAUUAACCAAAUUUGAUAAUAUAUUGGAAAAAAACUUCUUAAAAACCAUGAUAAAUGCGGAUUAAACAUUACAAGUAUUUGUGGGUCAUUAAUAGUUUGAAAACUUAGCCAAUAAGUUGGCCAUUUGUUGCAAUUAUUGACCACUUAUUUUACAAAUUGGCCACAUACUGCUUAUAUUGAUUAUAUAGCAUAUAUGUAAAAAACUUGCCUUACAAAAUAGACACAUGUUUAAAAAAUUUGGACACAUGUUGAAUGAUCUAUAGAAUAUUGUCACAUAGCUCUUUAGUUAAAUAAUAUAUAUGGAAGAAAGAUUAAAGUCUUCUUUAUUCUUAUCAAUGCCUUUCUUGUAUUCUUAUCUUAGCCUAAGAAUCUGUAGUCACUUUGUAUUUAGAAAUAGCCAUUCUAGUUUCUAUCUUAUAUCUUUUUUAUUUAUAUUUUUUUAGUGUCAUAAGAAUGUAUUACUUCUUUAGAGUUUUUUUAUAAUUUAUGUACUUGAAAAUUUAACAGGAAUACUAAAUUUUUAUGCAUGUUUUAUUUUAGAAGUAAAAGAAUUAUUCUACUUUUUAUUGUUUUAUUUUAUACAUUAUUCACUAUCUACUUUUAAAAUAAUAUUUGUUUAACUUGAAUUCUUAUUUAAAGAUAGUAAAUUAUUCUUUUUUAUAAAAAAAUUGAUUUAAUAUUAGAGAUUACAAAUUAACAUCCUCUAGUUUGACUUAUGAAUUUGUUAAAAUUGUCUAUUAUAGAAAUAAAAGUAAAUAAAUUAUAGAUACUAUACUUUCUAGAUAUAAAAAUAUAUUUUUAACUAUUUUAGAUCUUUACAAGCUUGUUAGCAUACUUAGGAUAGAAAUUUUAUAUAUUUCUAAUAUUAAUUAUAGAAGUAUUAUUCUUUGCUUAUAAGAGAAAUAAAAAAUAAAGUCUAAUGUCUAUGCAAAAAAAUUAUGCAAUUGAGAGAAACAAACAAAUCAACCUCAUAAAUAAAUCCAAAAAACUUGGUUUCUAUAAAUAUAAAGAGACAAAGAUUAGUAUGCCAAAGUAGUUUGAUAGAAAAAAAUAAAUAAAAUCAAGAAUUUCUACAAUUCAAGCUCUAUUUAAGAUUAUAACUUUUCCAAUAUCCUAAUAAAUUUACUCAAAUUAAAUUUAUAAGUGUACUUUUAUCUAAGGAUGUUCUUUUCUGGUUUGUACUUUUAAUGAAAAAUGAUUCAUAAGUCAUAUAUGAUCUAAAUUCAUUCCUAGAAGUGUUUUAAAUUAUAUUUAGAGAUAAUAAUUUAAAAAAAUUACUAUAAAAAAACUCCUAUCUUUACAAUAUGAAUUACAACCAAUUACCAUCUAUGCUAUUAAAUUUCAAAACCUUGUUUGCAAUAUAGAUUGGAAUAAUAAAGCUCUUAUUAAAAAAAUUAUGAUACAUAUUAAAAGAUUAUAUUAAAUAUUUAUUAUUAUAAAUAUCAAAAAUAGACUUAUUAGAAUAUUUUAUUAUUAAAGCUAUUAUAUUUAAUAAUCAAUUCUUUGAAAGAUACCUAAAACAAAUAAUUAAUUGAAGAAGAAUAAUUCAAAUCAUGACAACAACAACUCUUAAGUUUGUAGAAAUUUUUUCAUUAAGAUUAGAACCUCUGUAAAUUGAUGCUAUAUGUUUUAAAUCUUUCACCAAGCAAAAAAGACUUAAUGUUAUAAAAAAGAAAAUAUAUAUAUAUAUAUAUAUAUAUAUAUAUACUUAUAUUAUAGAGAACCUAAACGCAUUACUCAAUAUUAUUCAAAGAAGUGAUAUAAGUACAAAAUAAAGAGUAUGAAUGUCAAUGAAGAUAAUGUGUUGAAAAAUAAAUUUGUUUAGCUAUAAUAGAGACCAUGUAGUUGAAAGCUUUCAUAAUGAAUUGGCUUUACUUAAAGAAUAUAUUGAUGAAAACUUAGCCAAAAACUUUAUAUUCUAUUUAAAAGCUCUAACAAAAGCUCCUAUCUUAUUUGUGAAGCAAAAAAUUAAUCAUUAUAGAUAUGUGUAGAUUAUCAAGGAUUCAACAAGAUUAUCAUAAAAUAUAAGUACUAUCUAUUUUUGAUAUUAAAAUUUUUUAUCAAAUAAAAUAGAAAAAACUCUAUAUAAAAAUAGUUCUAUAAUGAAUAUAUAAUAUUAUAUUAUCUUAACUUUUCAAUGCAUUUUUUUAUUUUUAUAGAAACAAAUGCAUUAGGCUUUGCCUUAGGGUAGGAUGUUGUUACCAACGGAGAACAAAUGAGAAACUCCACCUAGUAACUUUUUAUUUAAAAAAUGUUUUAAAAGCCAAGAUGAAUUAGAAGAUCUAUGAUAAAUAGGAUCUUGUAAUUAUAAUUUUAUGUUAAAAUAACUCCAUUGUUUAAGAAACAUUUCUAGUCCAUUGAUUGUUUAUAUAAAUCACAAGAACCUGAAGUAUUUUAAAUUAGCUUGCAUUAAAAAUUAUUACUAAGCUUGUUGGAAUAUGUCUUUGACAAGAUUUGUAUUUAAUAUCAGCUUUUGGCCAAAACUACAACAAGAUUUAUUAAAUGACUUAUGUGUAUUUGUAAUAUGCAUAUGACUUAGAUAAUUCAUACUUUUGUAAUAUGAAUAUAAUACAAAAUAAUUUUUUAAAAAUAGUUUAAGUUCUAAAUUAAUUAUUUAAAAUAAAUUCUUAAAUCUAUAAAUAUUAUAAGAAAUUUUUAUCUAAUUUUAAAUUUAAAUAAAAUCUAAAAAACGUCUUUUUAUACUUACCAAGUGUUAAGAACAUGAAUAUAUAGCAAUGUUCAAUGUAUUUAAUCUAUACAAAAUCUCAAUAUGAAUCGAAAUGCGGUUUUAAAAAACUUAGACAAGAGACAAAAAAACUUCACAUUUUUAAUGCAUGCAAUCUUUGUGGUACUGGUCAAUCCAAGGUUGAUACCGGAUGGUUUCUGAAAAACAACAAUUGUGGCUUGCGAGUGGGAGUGGCAAUGUGCCCAUGUGCUUGAAAUUUUUUGGAGUAUUCACUUGUAGAAAUUUCUCCAUGCUGAGGGAGAAUAUUAGAAAAAAAGAAAAAAAAAAAAGAAAAAAAAAGGUAUAUAUAUCCAUUAAAACCAUACAUUUGGAGAUUUCAUUUUUUGGUAUUCAUUAUUAGGAAGUGUAUCAAAAGCUUUUAUGCUGUACUUUAAUUUCUGUAUGGUUCAUGGCAUUGUGUUCAUUGCAGGUAAUGAAAUGGGAUCAGUUCAUUGUGCCCACAACCUGUAAAUUCAAACACAACACUGCUAAUCAUAAUCGUUAUAAACUUCUUUGAAAUUAUCAUUAAAUUAUUGUUCAUUUCAUGUAACAAAUGAUUCCAUAUCUACAUAUAUGCAUACACACACACAUUUUAAAUUGAUGUGCAAUUUUUAAGUUCCAUCACAUGAAAAAAAUGCUGAUUGAGUGAUUUCUUUGAACAUGAUCAUGAAACAAUGACAUUUAUUGAUAGUGAAUACUUCUGACAUGCAUGUGAACACUUGAUAAUUGGUAUAUUGAAAACCACACCAUGUAUACACAUGCACAAAGGAAUAUGUUUGAAAAAGCAUGUGCGUGACACCCAUUUUGGGAAUACAAUAAUGUAGCCCAUAGAGGUAGGGAUAAUUAAUGAAGAAGGUGCCACCUAAACAUCUCUUUUCACUUCACUAAAAAUGCCACUGGUUUCUUGUGGAAUAUUCUUUAUAAAGGUCAUGAAUUUGGAGAUUCUAGACAUUAAUAAGGUGUUAUAGUUGGGGGGGGACAAGGUGGGUGUAUGAAUGGAGUCAUAAUUGGUAUGCAUUGAAUAGCUUGGUUAUAUGUUACCUUGACUUCCUUCUCACUGUGUGUGAACAGAGAUAUCCCCACACAGUGAAAGGCCCACAAUGGGGUAGUGCUUAGUCUUCAGCUGAGCCUCACCCCAUCCAGUAUCUGGACCAGUCUAUUUUGCAACAUGGCCCAGCUUAUUCUCAUUUGAGAAUGAGGCCAUGCAACUGCGUCAACUUCGUGAGCUUCCCAUCUUUGUCCCUUCUUAUACCCCUUACAUAGAACAUUCUCUUACAAGAUUCUCUCGUUAUGUCAGCUUGCUCAUGGGAUUCCCGAAGGUUGUAUCCAGAGUGUUAAAAUAUGGCCCUAUUUUGAUGAUUGAAACUUGGCAAGAAAUUUUGAUACUGUUGCAUCUUAGAAUUUUCUUCAAAGUAACUCAUUGUUGCUACUUCCUCUUGGUGAAUGCAAUUGUUAUGAAGGCAAGAGUAUUUAUCCCUCUAACAUAAAAUAAAAUAAAAUAAAAGUGUGGAGGAGGAAAUUGGACCUUGUGGAACAAUGUUUCAUUUUCAUGUUCAUUUUUUUUAUUUUAUCCUCUCCCCCCUCCCCCCCCCCCCCUACCCCCCAAUUGAGUUAAGCCUCUAUUUCAUAUUAUUGGUAUGUAAGGAACAAGCAUCAUGACAAUGGAUUUUAUGUUUAAAGUGAAAUUUUGUGUUUGAAGUAUUUUUGAACUGGAAUACAAUAAACAUGUAGAGAGCACAAAAAAUAAAUGUGAUAUAACUGCUACUUGUGUCAAUGUGUAUAUUUUUAUUGCUAAAGAUCAAACUUUCAAAAGCUUGGCACAUGCAUAUUAACGCAUGGGACUAAAGUCACAGUUGAGGGAUCUGUGCUACCAUGUUAAGAAAAGCAUUGAAGAUGUUGCAGUUAUAUUUUUUUUGUAAACAAGAAAGAAUCUGUGUGGAGUCUAAUCUAAGAUUUUUGUGAGGUUUCUUACUUUGUGUGAGAGUAUAGAGUUACACUUGGUGAUGCCAAAAAGUUCCACUAGGAUUUUACAAAUUGUACUGAACAUUCCAUUCAUACAGUAAUUAAAAUUUGACUGAAUUACUACUUGUACAGUAAUUAAUAUAUGCAACAGUUCAUGUUCUUGUAUGUUUAUUGCUCCUAUUUUUUUAAUAUAUAUAUAUAUAUAUAUAUAUAUAUAAACCAACUUGUACAUAUGACAAUGCCAAGAUAUGUUCACACAAUCUCAUUCAUGUGUAUUUAAUAUUUUUUUAAACAUUGCAGCAAAUAAAAAUUUCAAAAUCAGAUAAUGGAAUAAUGUCAUUAGGUGCAUUGUAGUAGGACCACCUACAAUGACUAAGUAUUGGUGUGGUCACCAUCCGUUUUAUAUUUCAAGCAUAUGAUAAUCACCCUCUGUAAUUGUUACAUACUUAAAAAGAGAAUUAUUAUGCUCUCUAAAUCCCAUUAACUACCUAAAUCAUAAUCUUACCAAUGCAACAUGAAGCUUCAUUAAGAAUUUGCCAAAGUUUAACUAUAGCCCAACAACCAAUCCUAAAAUAAAAUCUAUAUAUACACAUAUACACACACACACACACACAGAUAUAUAUAUAUAUAUAUAUAUAUAUAUGCAGCAGCAUAUCCUUGUGCAACAACCACCAAUAGGCAUUGGUUUUAAACAACUUAGUUGCAUAAACCCAAAAUCAUGCCCCCCACCAUAUUGCUUUGUUUGACUUGAAUGAACAGUCUCAUCUAUCACCUUGACUAACUAAUAUUUCAUGGCCCAAGUGGUGUAUUGAAAGAGUAGAAAGGAUCAGGCAUGGUACAUUGUAGGAUUGUUCUUGCCUUGAUGAUAGAUUAUUUAAUGGAAACAUAUGCAAUGUCAGAGUAGGAAUAUAACUAUACACACACACACACGAAUAUUAAGAAAAAAAAAGAAAAGAAAAAGAAAGCAAAAUUGAUGAAUAAAGUGGCAAAGCUUUGUCUUUUAUCAAGUGCGAUCAAUUGCAAAAGCCCAGUAUCGAGAUAUGAGCUUUAAAUCUCUGAAUAUAUCAGUAAAAAACUUUUCAGCAACAAGUUCCUUUCUAAAACAAAAUUUUAAAAAUGUACGAGGAAUUAUUUUAAAAAACAGAAGAAAUUUGGUGACCCGAGUUUUAGUAGUUUGAAGCAUUCCAGGUUUCUUCAUAUUUUCUUAAGGCAGUCUCAUCGAAGAAUGGGUAUCUGAUAUGGGCGAAUCAAUCCUGCUAUAAUAUAUAUAUAUAUAUAUAUAUACGUACAUACAUACAUGUGUGUGUGUGCAUGUGCGCGUCAGUCUGUUGGUAGGGAAGCCACAGGAUCCAGUAAGUGCCAUGCUGGCAUUCCAAAAGGCAACGUGGAACCGGCCAAUCUCAUACUGUUUUGCCUUAAAAUAAUAAUAUGUUUUCAUGAGUAAAUAGAGAAAAAUAAUAAAAAAUCAAGGGAAUAUGAAUAAAGAAAUAUUCCUUUGGCUCAGUAAGCUUUAGUGAUUCCACCUAAGCCCACAAUUUGUGUAUACCUUUGUCUCCUAAUUGCCUUCCUUAACAAGCAAGCAGUUGUGUGCCGAUUCACAGCUGGUACAUUCAUACAACUAUUAACUAAAUGUUUAUUCUCUUUCAACAAACUAUGGGUGACACAACAUUUUUUUAUUUUAUUUUAUUUUUUCUAUAUUGUCCUCAAUUCAGAUAAUAAGAUUGAGCCAGCCUGGCAUCCACAUAGGAUUCCUUUAAUUCCACAACCUUGCGUUGUGCCUUGUAAGAGUCCAACAUGGGGUAUGUUUUGUUCACUGUUUUUUGUAAUUAAAAAAAAAAAAAAAAAAAAAAAAAACAUAUAUGAGACUUCUUCAGCUGAUAUGUGUCUGUUUCAUAUUUUAUUUUUGAAAAAUACCUUUAUUAUUAUUAUUAUUAUUAUUGCUGAAAUGAUUGUUUUUUAAUGAGUUGCUUGAAGAAAAGAUGAUAGAGGAAAUAUCAGUAAUAAUACCCACAAUUAGAUGUGUUUUCAUGAGGUCUGUCUCUAUUACUGACUACCUUUGGUUUUGAGUGCCUCAAAAAUUAUUUGGAAAAUGUUUAGAAGCUCAAGUGCAGUAAAUGAACAAAACUCAAAAUCAUCUCUACAUGAAUGAACAAAAAUUGAUUUAUAAAGUAAUGGAAAAAUUGUAAGUAGAAGUUUUGAUUUACUGUUAACAAUUAAAUCUGUUGCAUCUUUGAGUUUUUUUGGUUUUUUUUUACUAAAGCAAUAUGGGUAAUGAGGUGCCACCUUCAAGUGUCUUGUGAUUUUUUUUAUAUAUGUUUCAUUCCAUUCCAAUAAUUAUCUGAAUUUCCAGCAACGAGACCAACAAACAACCUUAGUAAAUGAUAUAUACAUAUGUAAUUUUACAGCAAUGUUAACAUGGUUAAUGAAUUAUACAAAUUGGUACUGGAUUCUACGAGUAACAUACUGUGUGAAUUUUUAAAGGGAUUUUGCACUGCAAUUUUUUUUUUAAAAUGAUUUUAAUCAAUACUUGCCAUUCAGAUCCCAACCCAUGCGCAGAAAAUUUCACAUAACUGAACACAUUAUCAAAAAGCAAAGUGAGAAUCGAAAGGAUCUUCUGAUAACACCAAUACUACUUAAAGUCAAAGUUAAUUGGAACUGAAAAAUUUUCAUUGUUUCUUUUUGGAUACUGACAAAAAAAGGAAUUUAUUUAUUGCAAGGUGAGAAGCAAGACAACAUUAUAGAAAUUUAAUUCCACAGUUUGUCAUUAUCUAAAAUUGAUACAAUUGGAGUUGGGAAAAAGUACAUAUAUGUGAAUUAAUAAAUCUUAUUUACUACUGAUAAUCUUCAAAUGUUGUAAUCUUUUAUUAUUAUCUGCACGAAAUAUCUUGUAAUGAGUAAGAUACAUAGGAACCAGUAAAGAAUAAAUUGACAUUAUUUUAUAUUUCUUGAAGUAUAUAAGACUAAUUUAAUAAAUGCUUCAAUGGACUAUAGAGAAGAUGACUAGAAACGAAAGAUAGAGAAAAUGUAGGCAUUCAACAAUUACAUAGCAUUAUUCUUAUCAGAAAAUGAAAAGAAAUGAACACUUUUUAAAAACAAAAUAAUUUUGAUAAAUAAAUAAAUAAAUAAAUAAAAGAUUUAUUCUUUUUCUCCCUACUGUAUGUGAAUACUAAUACAGGUUAACACCAUUCUAAAGUGGUAAACAAUAGCAUCUUUGGGCUUUUGUAGCUUGGACAUAAAUUAUUUCUAUUCUAUUACCAUAUUGGAAAUGUCUAACUGUUAAAAUUUAAGAAUACCAUAAAGGUAUUGCUAAUACAUGUAGGUGAGUGUAUAUAUAGUCACACACACAUAAAUGAAAAAUUGUGUCAUUGAACAUAAAAGUAGCUUUUAUGUAUUUUGAUUUAGUUUUGCUUCAGAAUAGUUACAAUUGAUACUUUUUGAUUUGGAUUUUGAAAACAUACCUUGUGAACGUAAUGCAGACUAUGAUUAUUACUCUCUUGUGUCACAGACAUCUCAUAUAAACUUUAAUGCUAUAGUGUGUACUUUGAAAGAGGGACAUGACUCUUUUGUGAAUUAUUUCGAUUAUUUAUUGCAUUUGAGUAAGAUAAUUCAGCAAGGUUAACCAAGUGGAGAGCACUUCACGAAGAGAAAUGGGAGAAGAGGUCCAACAAACAAACAAGAGUUUUCUCAUGAGAAAGACAUCGAUAUCUGGCAGUCUUGUUAUCUGGGAAUUCCAAAGCUUGUGAAUCAGUGGUGUCGACGGGCCUCGGCCGCCAUGAAUCAGCGUGGGGUUGCAAAAUGGAGGAGGAGGGAGGGGGUGUGAAGCGGGGAUCACAUCCCAACCCAGAAUCACAGUCAAAUCUGGUCCUUCGCUCGCUCGUCUGUUUGAUUAAUUGUUGGUUGGUUGGUUGGCCUGGCAGUGACAAAGUCAGUGGGUAUCCAUCGUCGUCCGCUCUUUUCCGCUGCGUGCCGACGAUCUGCUCAGCGCAGAGCGACCAGGAAGCAACGACUUUGAAUGUCGCCCAACGGAGUCCCCCCUCCCCUCCUCACCCCCCGGUUAGCUGCGAUGGGCCCCCGCUGGGGCAGUGCCCAUGCCGAGAUUGCAUCGACUACGCAACAUCGGGCUGCGACAUAAGCUCUGCCUACUACAAGCCCAUUCUUCUAAUGUGGCGCACCGGGGCUGUUGCGGGCUGAGAGAGGGCACCAGCCUGCUUCUGCUGCUCCUGCUGCUUUGGCAGCGGCGGUGGGCUUUUCUCCACUGCAGACGCGGAUUCUCGCAUCCGUCGCCAACGCUGCACAUGCAGCUUCUGGCAUGUCGGGUCGUAGCACUGCUGCCAGUUUAUAAAUUUGAUUUUGUAUUAGUAUGAUUAUUAUUAUUAUUAUUAUUAUUAUUUUGUAUUUGUACUUGUGUUUUUGUUGUAUGUGUGUGUGUGUUGUUUGUUAUCGUGAUCGUUGUCUCGCACCCAGCAUAGCAUUGCAUUGCAAUCCGCAUCGGUCGUAUGAUCAGGCAUCGAUUGAGGUCGAGGUUCUUCAUUCGACCUCUUUCGAUUCUCGCAUCCCUGCAGUAAUCAGUAAUGGCCGAUCCAUACAAACCCAAAAGGAGGAAGGGAGGAUGUAGACACACUUAUGUAUAUAUACGUCCAAAUGAACAAAUGAAAAUUACAACCUAUCAAUGCUAUAGUCUACACAAAUAUAACAAAGAAGGUGAUUCUAAAUAUUACAGUUUUAUCUCUGUUUGAAUGAAUAUUUUAUAAUAUACUGAAUAAUUUAAAUAGUAUAUUUUAUUCUUUUUUGUGUAUUCAAAAUUUAUAAAGUAAAGCUGGAAGUUAGAGAUUACUAAAUUAAGUGAAUUUGAAAAAAAUAAUUGUUUCGUAUUGAUUUUUUUUUUUUUUUUUUUUGACAAAAACCAAAAUGAAACAAGUAAGCAUUUUUUUUGUAUCUAUGCAAAAGAAAAAUAGAAACAUUUAUGUUCAUGAACAUCUUUAAUAUUAUACUUUUUGGAAGAUGAAAGGAAGAAGAGAAAAAUGAUAUAAAUCACCACCAAUUUCUAUAAAAAUAACCACCAGUAUGAUUUACAGGUAGCUUACUGAAAAAUUAAAAAGUAAAUCAAAUGAUAAAAAGAAAAAGAAGAAAUAAAACCCAUGUAGACAGAAAUAUUUCCACUUUAGACAUUGUUCUAAGACACAAAAUAGAUGCAAAAUGAAUGAAUAGGGUCAUAAGAUCAUCCAAGAGUAAGUCUUGCAUAAUUAAAAUAUUAAUUAGGUUUUUACUAAAAAAAUUAAAUCUUUGAAUUUUCAGUAACAAGUUUCUUGUUUAAUUUUUAAUUUAAGAAUAACAACAACAGUAGAAGAAUCAAAAAAUAUUCUUGUUAUCUGAUUAAAAGAAAUAAAGUGAAAACUUGAUUUCAGAUCAAACAGUUAUCAUUAGAUCUUUUUGUACAAGUUUCCAAUCAAAAUUACAAGUAAUACUAUAUAUAUAUAUAUAUAUAUAUAUGUGUGUGUGUGUGUGUGUGUGUGUGUGUGUUUUUAAAAACUAAAAAAGAUUAAAAAUUCACCAAUUUAAGUAGCUCAUUAAAUAGGCAUUAAUUACUGUUUAUUUUAUUUUCUAAAAAAAUUUUCGAAAAAAAAGACUCAAAAAAAUUGCAAUGGGUAGAGGAUAUCCAAUAGAACAGCAACCUGUUCGGAUGCAAAUUUUUCACGUAUCAUUCACAGACGCACUCUUCCUGCAUUACAAAUCACACAUGCAGUCAUACACACCUCUACACGUGUUAUUUGAUUUAGGUUUUACUGUUCCUUUCGUUUUACUGUUUAUUUCGUUCACCCUUGAGUUCGGUGCAAGGUCAUACAAAUGGUGGUGGCUCUCUGUACUCCUCCAAGUAUCGGAUGCCAAGCUCCUUUGUAGCUGCAACAUUUGCAAGCCAUUGGCUUUUCUUCACUAGUACAGAGAUAUGUGUGAAAAUUGAAUCUCACAGAAGGGACGGGUUCUCAAUGAUUGGGGUGUUGCCAUUUGGGACCACAUGAGCACAUGAAAAUUGUUGAUAGUAUUCUUUUGCUUCUAUGAUGCUCUGUAAGGUAUAGCAGAAGUGUGUGUGUUUAACACUCGUUGCAGUACACUAGUACAAAGCUCAUUUCUCAUCAUAUCCUAAAGAAAAGAAAAGAAAAACCUUCAUGUCAUGCUGCAAGGACAGCUGCUUUGUGGAGUUCCCUAAAACUCAAAAACUCAAACUCACGUCCUGGUUAGUUAAUGAAGAAUUUUCUCACCAGUUCUUUACAGAAAUUACAGUUGAUGUCGAACCGAGGUUAUAAGCCAUCGUGCUGAAGCGAUCGGAUCGACGUAGUAAAUCACAGAAGACGGGGUUGAUAACAGAAUUCAGAACAGAUACUUGAUGUUAUUACUAUUAUUACUAUGAACUCAUCUAAGAAUAUAUCACCGGAUUGGCUAUGAAAUCUCAUUUUUGUUGUGUCAGCAUUGACGCAGCAACAGGGAAGAAUCUGACAACAAGCAGAAGUGGUGGCCAUCGACAUGUUGUAUGCAAUAUAAAAACUUGGCGCAAAUGAAUGGUGUUUCGUCGUUCUGGACAAUACACUCACAAUCAACCGUUGGUUUCAUCCGUAUCAGAAAGAAAACAAAGUAGGGGGAGAGAGAGAGAGAGAGAGAGAGAGAGCACAUAAUACGACUUGAAUCGUGGACCAGAAUUUUUUAGAAGGAAAUUUGUCAUUCCAUGUUGGUUGGGUAGCUACUGGUAAUAAGUCCAUUUCUGGAAAGUGGGAUAACGUGCACAUGGAGGUUCUACUUUUUCAAAUGGAAAUAAAUUUUGCAAGGCUGAGGUAAUAGCAUUUCUUCAAUUCCCAAGGUAGAGUGGGUGGGAGUUUCAUGAGGCGCUGUCCUAAGGGUCGCCACAGGCUUGUUGCAAGCGAGUGAAUUCAACGCAAGGGUAGUUCUUCACAUGAAUCACCUCAAUCAGUGGGAGGGGCAAAAGGAUACAAAUAGGCCUGGCAGGAUCCUGUAAAGUUCCGGAGUAUCACGUGAGGGAAAAGCCUGCUGCAAAGGUAGAGGAUGCUAUAAUCAGACAGUGGGUCCAUGUGCAGAUUAAUUCUGGUGACAAGUGAAAUGAAUCUUCCAAUCUUGUUAGAAAAAGGGAUGGAGAUUUGAUUCCGUCGUGUAGUUCCGAAUUCCCAUCCAAGCGCACGCAGUUUGUGGAUGUUCCUGUCAGGGCGGUAGGCCCGCCUCCAACAUGCCAUCCUCAUCUCCCUAUCCAAGUGAUCCUCGAUCCCACCUCAUGCUAGAUUUCAGUGCACAGAGCCCAAUGUGAGAGGGACCCAGCUAGUCUCUCCAACAGAAGUCUACCAUAGGCUUUCAAGAUUCUUCACACCAGGCGAAGUCCACAGCCAGGCUGCAACGAUCCCUCCCAAACCGGGUAGUCCAGAUUUUCUUCUCUCUCGAGACAAAUCCACUUAUCCAGGCUCCUCCAUUCCUCCUCCACUCAGUAACAUUGACUGCUACACAACGCCCCGUUCUAUCAAGGCUUCUACUAUCUUUGACGCUCGAGCGCUGAUCGUAGCAAGCGCCUGGAGCCCAUGCGGAGGGUGAUGGACCUCUGAUCAAGGGCACUCCGGAUCAGUCCAUCUAGAUAAUCCACCCCGCGUUGUGUUCCAAUCAUGCAUUGCGGGAGAAGCCCCAGUUUACGGGCAGCUGAUCGAUCACAUUUCGGUACUGUCACAGUGUAAAAGACCAAAGCUGGAGGAUCGAAGAGCUCUGCCACUCUUGCCUUUCAAGUCUAGGACCAGCUCCGGCCAAGAGCAAAAAACCAGAACCGGCGUGGGGUUGGGUGUUGUAGAUUCGCCUUCAAAACUAGCUGUGGCUGCUGCAGUUGCUGUAGUUGCAUGGACUUUGCAGGUGUGCUUGGCAUCGGUGCAGAGUGCCCAUGUGAAACAUCAAUGCCUUUGCUGGUGCUGAAGCUGGAAGUCCAUAUUCCCAUGUCGAAUGGAAUCAUGGGAUGUUGUGCCCCAACCAACGGUAUUGUCAAUGCUUCCCUCGACGCCAAACAAAGCAACGCAGAUGUGAAACAUUUCCUGCAGCAGGAGAAACAGAAAAAGAAGAAGAUCUCAAUCUGCCAUAUCCAGAUGAUAUGCACAUUCCCACCCACAGUGCAUGUCAGAAUUACUCACCAUGCAAGCAGGAAUUGCCGUUACAGGUCCACUGAUACAUCUCUAUUUCACACACACACACACAUAUAUAUAUAUAUAUAUAUAUGUAUGUAUGAAAUUAAUUCCUCCCUGUAUAUGCAUUUACUUGUGUAGUUCUUUCAUGUUGUUCAAGUCAAACUAAUGUUGUUGUUUUUUGUUUGAGUUAAAAACCUCAUUUGUGCAUGUUCUAGGUAUAACUAUUUAAAGCAUCCUAUGCAUGUUUAUAUAAACAGGUUAUGGUAAUACCUGAAAUAAUUAUUAUAUGAUGUUAUUGGGAAUUUGUCAAAUGUUAUGAAAGCAUAUAUUAUGAAGUUACUAUCUAUUAUGAAGUUAGAAAUAUACAUUUAUUCUAUAUAUACCAAAGUGCCUUUUCAAUAUAGGCUCAAUUUCUUUAUAUUAGAAUAUUUUUUGAGUUGAGAAUAAAAAUUGGAUACACUGAAAAAAAAGGUAUCCACGCUAAGGUUGAACUUACACUAGUAGGAAUUAACAGAUAGUCAAAUCUUAAUCCACACAUCUUUUUUUUUUAUUAUAUAUAAAAAAAUUUGGACUUUUUUGUAGAAUUAUAGAAUAAAAUCAAAGUCAAUUAUUAUACUAAAAUUAAAUAAAAUUAAGAAUAUUUUUUCUUCAAUCCAACCAAGUUGUUAGAGGUCAAUAAUGAAUCAAGUGACAAGACCACUAUAAAAAUUUACUCCUAACUGUUUUGGAUAUAGAUUAUUUUAAAAAAUAUAUUUAUCAAGUAAUUUUAAUUUAAUUAAUUUUAAAAUAUAGAAAUCAAAGUCAGGCCCUUAAUUAAGAAAAAAAUGGAUGUUUUUUUAGUUAAGUCAAAUUUUAUUUAUACAUUUAUAAGUUGAUAGUAUUAAGUUUUAAAUUUAAUGACAUAAUUUUUUCUAUAGCAUUCAAUAAAUUUAAUAAAUAUCUUAAUAAGCUAAAAAUAGGAGGUAGGUCAAGUCAAAAUCCAAAAAUAAGGAGUUCACAAAAUUGGCACACCCAUGUAACCUCCCUCUUACAAGUCCUAAAUCCUAUGCAAAUCCUAGAUCCUAAACCACUUCCUAUUCACACUUGUUUUUUUUUGGAAACCUCAUAUCUCCUAAAGUAUAGUCUUAUUGGAGAUUUUAAACAUAAAAAGAUACUUAUAUAUAGUCAAUUAUUCCACUAAUUAGAGAUAUUUGAAUAUAAUUGUAAUAUUAAUAUAUAUUUUUAAUUAUUAUAAAAAUUUAUUAUUUUUAAUAAAAUAGAGUAUAUAAUUUAAUAUAUUAAAUAGAAUAAGAUCAUUAAAAUAUUCAUAAUAGAAAUAAAACAUAUCCUUAUAAAUUUUCUAUGUAUCAUAUUAAAUUUAAAAUAUUAUUUUUUGUAGAAUUUUAUAUAUAAUUUUUUAAAUAUAAGUUCUUUUAAUUAAGAAAUUUAAUAAAUUUUAUUUUAUUUUAAAAAUGAUUUAUUAUAAAUUUUAUUUUAUUUUAAAAAUGAUUUAUUAUAAAUAUUUAUAUUUUAAAAAUCUAAUAAAUUUAAAUAAUUAAUAGUUGUGUUUAUAUAUAAGAAAUUCUUAAGAUAAUUAUUUCACUAAAUAAAUCUUAUUUGUACUUCAAAUAUGUUCAAUAUUAUUUCUAAUUUAUAUAUAUAAAAAAUAUUAUUUAUAAUUUUUUUAUAUAUGAAAUUUUAUUUAUUAUUUUUAUCAUUUCAUAAAUAUCUAAUACUAAAAAAAUUCAAAUAAAAAUAUAUAAUAAAGCAUAAAAUUUGCAUUAAGUAGCAUAGAUUGCUAAAGAAGAUAUAUUUAGAAUAAAUUGUAUUAAAUCUAAGUACAUAAGUUGAUAAAAGAGAAAUUAGUUAAAAAAGAUGUAUGAGGUAAUAUUUUAAAUUAUGAUAAAAAUAAACUAUUUUAUAAAAAACUAAAAAAAUAUGUGUAAUGGGUAGUGUAUUGCAAUAGUAGUAGCAAAAGCUGUAGUAGUGUGAGUCACCAAAACAAUGCACAUAUUCUAUUUGAACUAAAUCAAUGUGAUUAGGAUGCCAAGUGCUAAUAUUUAGAUGAAGAAUUAAGUUAGAAGAGCUAGAUAUGAAUAAAAUAGUAUUAAGAAAUAAAAUAUGAUUAGUAUAAAAAAUCUAAUAUAAAUUUCUAUAUAGAAAUCAUCUUAGAAUGCAUCAAUUGAAUAUCUUUGAUAUCUCUAGAGUAUCUAAAAAAAAUCUAAUCAAUUCAAGUUUCUAAUAUUAUAUGGUAGUAUAUAGUUUCAAUGCAAUGUUAUAUAUAGUCAAAAUAUAAUCUUUACAUGAAUUGGUAUAUAAUAAAAUAUAAUUUUAUAUGAGUUAGAUAAAUAUCCAUAAGAUCAAGUACAAACUAUCAAUAGGAUAUUGAUGGGCCAAAUAUUAACAUCCAAAUAUCAAGUUGGCCAUUACAGGCCUCUAAAUUGCCAAAGGAGGUUUGGCUCAGGCCCAAGACCCUGCCUCUUUUUCUUCUUCUUCUUCUCUAUUUUUUUAGGUGUUGUAUUUUGCAAGAGCUCCAGAACACCAAGUGGUUGUGGCUAAAGUGGUAUUAUAUUAGCUAAGCUCAAGUAUUCAUCAAUUUCAUGCAAUGGUAUUCUUGGAUAUUAUAUUAUUUUGUUGAUUUUGUUCUAUAGUAUGGAUUCAAUCAAUUCUCAUAUGGUUAUAUUCGUUUGUGAAGAAAAAUUCUUUGUAGUCAAAUAGUAUAUAUAUAUAUUUUUUUUUUCUUGGUGUAGUAUAGUGAAAAGGCUUACAAUUUGACACUCAUAUUGCAAUUGGAUCAAUGCCAAAUCUAAUCCUUCUUUAAGGUGUCACAUACACAUUGGACUCUCAAUCAAUUGUCUUAUAGAAUUUUGGACACAAAAUUGCAGCUCAUACAAGGAUGUAUGCUAGUUAUGAGGCUUGCAUAAAAAAAUAUUAGGAUCAAUCAUAGCUUGCCUUAUGACAAUCCAUCUUGAUUGUGGAAUUGCUAAUAUUAAUGUAGCAUGACUAAGAUAUGCUAAUGUAAUAAUCUAUAGCAACGAAGAAGUGUCAAAAUUGUAACAUCCUUAGUUCAAUGUGGAAUCUAUAGCAAUGUAUAUUGUUAGUUGAAAUUAGAAUAGACUUAAAUCUAGCUUUUUUUUGAAUAUGGUGGAGGUUUCUAAGAGUCAAUUCCAAUUGCAAAGACUAAUAAAGUGAAAAUUGGUGAUUCUUAUAAGCACAAUAAAUUGAGCCUUGGUUGGGUUUCAAAAUUAAAGGCUCCAAUGUCAACAAGUCCAUGGUUGAUAGAUAUAGAAUACAACGACAAAGAGCCUCUUGGAUCAGGAGGCAUCAUAGGAAGGAGAUGUUGGCCAUUAAGCUCUAUAUCAAGAAAACCAUAUUAAGAAAAUUUAGACCAUGGAAUUGUGAGUAUUUUGUUAUAUUGUAACAUCUCCAAUCUUAAGACCUUUGGAAUCUUAUAGAAGAAUUGGAACCAAUUUAACAAAUAAGUAGACACAAUUAAUUAAUAUUAAGAGUAAUUGAAGGAUGCUUUAUGAAUUAGGUUAAAGUUAAAUAAAUUAUGUUAAUUUUGGAUGAAUUAUUAUAGAUAAAAAAAUAUUCUAUUAGAUGGAAAAUUAUUCUAAGAUGAAUAUUUAUUCAUGGAUGAUAAAUCAAUUAUAGACAAAUUUUUUCUUUGGAUGAACUUUUAAUUUAGAAUAUUUUAUUUUAUUUAUUAAAUAAAAUAAAGUAAAAUAAUAAUAAAAUAAAAUAAAUUCAUACAAAAAAUUUCUUUCAAUUGUGUAUAUGGUUUUUAUUUAUUAAGUAGCUUGCAUUAUGGUUUUAAAUUUGGAUGUGUGAAUUUUAAUUAGUUAAAAAAAUUCAAGUUCUUUAGUAAGAAGAAAGAGAAAAUUUUAUUUAAUUGUUCUCUUAGAUAAUUAGUAAUUUUGAACUAAAAGAAUUUACCUACUAAAAGACUUAUUCUAGCUUACAAUAGGAAGAAUUAUUAGAAUUAUUGGAUACAAAUCAAAUACUAAUUGGAAUAUAUUACAAUUUUUAGAAAAUUAAAUUAUAGUGAGUUAAGAUAGACUUUCAAUUAGUAGGGGUUUAUUUUAGUUUACAUGUAGCAUUAGAAAUAUAUAUAUAUAUAUAUAUAUAUAUAUAUAUAAAUUUUUUAUCUUAAAUAAUAAUAUUAAAUUACAAAAAUUCUUUUGAAGAAUUUUAAUAAAACUACCAAAACUAUUUAUUAAAAUUGAUUCCAAAUUAAAUUAUUUUUAUAAAUAUUAUUAUUUAAUUAUUAAAUAUUAAAAUUAAUAAAUAUAUUAAAAUUUUAUUAUUAUGAUAUAAUAAAUAAAUAAAAAAACUUAUAGUCUUAUAAUAUUUUAAAAUAUCUUAGGUGAUGAAAAACAAAAUCAAUUAUAAAGGUUGCAAAAAAUAGUCCUUUAUGGUAUCAAUACGCAAUAUUAGGCCAUCAAUAUAAUAGGAUGUAGAUAAGAUAUUUGUAUUAUUGACACAUAGGGAUAGAUAAUUAAAACCAUGGAAGUUUUUAGAAUUAAGAUUAGUUUAGUAGAUUAGGUAGGAUCCAUCGUAGAAUAUUUUAGAAAGAGUUUAGGAUAAUUAUUUAGAUGGAAUUCACCACUAAAUCUUCUAAAAGGAGUUUAAGGCAGAUAUCUAAAUAGAGUCCAUCAUUUAGGAACAUUCAAGAAAGUCUACGGUAAUAGAAUAAAAUAUAAAUAAGACUUACUAGAGCCUUUUGAGGCAUUUAGUUAGGUAUGGCUUCAAACCCUUUUUCUUAAUACAAUUGAAUUUUAUAUCUUCUUAUUUUUUUCUAUUUUUUUUCAAUUUUGAUUGCUUAAUUUUAUCUUUUAUGUCUCAUUUUUUUUUAGUUUUGUUCAAUUUAUUCUAGUCCAAUUUGUCCUAUUUUGUGAUGAGGUUUUAUGUUGUUGUGGAUUAGAAAGGUCUUGAAUACUUGAGAUAGACUAGUCCUAUUUUAUUAGUAUUAGAAUGAGUAUUAGAUUAUUUUAUUGAUAUUAGAAUGAGUGCUGAUAGUCAUCAUCUAGUCUUAGGUCAGUUGUAGUAGUUACAAUGGAUACUGUCUUGAGGCUACUACAAGCUAUUCUUAAAAAAUCAACUAAGAAGUAAAAAGGCAUUACAAUAGUAGAGUCUAAUAGAGAAAUUAUAAUAAAGGUGCCGAGGGCCAGUAGUAGGAUUCAUUACUAUCUUUUAGAAACAAAUGGUAUGGCCUCGAAUAACUAGAAAAGAAUAGAUUGGUACAUCUAAUGGAACUACUAAGAGGACAACCAUAUCAAAUAUUUAUAGAUUGUGGCUCUACAAAAAAUUAUAUAUCAACUAAAAUUAUUAACCAACUUAGAAUUAAAACCAAGGUAAUUAAUAGAGGAAGUAUAUAACUCACGAAUAUAUGCAUAUAAGCUAGUAAUUACAUAUAUAAAUAAAUAGAAAUAAAUAAAAGUAGGUAAAAGUAAAUUAAUUCUACAAUAUUUGCUAUGAAAGCUUCUUAGAAGCUCUAUAGAUGCUGCUUUGACUUUAUAGGUGUCUUUAAUUGACUUUUUGGAUUAAAAACGUGGUCAACAAGUUGGCCAUGUACCACACAUGUUGUUAGCUUGAAGACCAAGCUAACUAUGUGGCCCCUACGUAGAAAAACUUGCGUUAUAAGUCAAAGCAUGUGUCCUACAAAGUCAACAUAUAUUGGAGGUCCUACAGAACAUCGCCACAUAGCCCCUAGUUAGAUAGUAUAGAUAGAGAUAAGAGUGAAGUCUUCUUCACUCUUGUCAACUCUUUUCUUGCUUCUAGUCUAGUCUCAAGGGUCUCUAGUUUUCUUGUCUUUUGGCAAUAGCCAUUCUAGUUUCUUUCUUAAUAUACAUAUCAAGUUAUUUCUAUUUUUUCAUCUUUCUUUAAGAAAAGUCUCACUUAUUUAUCUAUUUUUAUCAAGUUCUUGUCCUUGAUAGAUUGACAAGAGUAUACUUACAAUAUCAGAGCUUUAUCUAAUCAUGAUUAAGAGUAGAUUAUCUCUUUCUCUUAAUAAGACAUAAUCAUAUUAGAAGUUGCAGAUUACCUUCUUCUAAACUGAUAUUAUCUUUAGUAUUUUCUUUGUUUUUAAGUCCUCUCUUCUAUUUGUCUUGAGUGAUAUUAUGCAUCUUUUCUAUUUUGAGUGUUAUCAUGGUAGAACUUGUUGAAAUAAAGAGUGCAAUGGCACAAAUAUAAGAGCAAUUGAGGAAGUUAAUGCUUACAAUGCAUCAACUCAAUUUACCACCACAAAGAGCAACAAGAUUGACAAGAAGUAAAGAUAUAGAAAUGAUUAGAGCUGCUUCAACAUCUGCAUCAAAUCAUGUCCCUUCUCUUAUAGUGGAACGCCCUUCCAAUGUUAUAGAACCUAGAAUUCUCCUACCCAAGAAGUUUGAUGGCAUCAGAUCAAAGUUUAGAGGAUUUAUAAAUCAAGUAUAACUUGUGAUUUAACUUCAAUCACAAAGCUAUCCAAGUCCAAGAUCACAAGUUAAAUUCAUUGGUAUGCUUCUUUCAAGUUCAGCAUUAUGAUAAUUUUUAUCUUUUCUUGAACGACAAGAUCCAAUAUUGGAUAAUCUAGAGGAUUUUUUGGCAAAGUUUUGAUCCAUGUAUGGAAAACAUGAUGCAAUUCGUGUUGCAACCAAUAAGAUCCAUAUUUUGCAACAAGGCAAUCGAUCAGUAACGUUGUAUGCUUUACAAUUUUGAUAACUUGCAACUGAUAUCAAGUGGGAUGAUGCUACACUUAUUAACCAAUUUUCCUAUGGAUUACAAUAUGAGGUAAAAAAAUUAAUGCUUAACUUACCUGAUCCUCAAAAAUUGAGUCAAGCAAUUGACUUUGUUGUGAAGUGCAACAAUCAUCUUUUUGAAUUUUGAUUUAAGAACCAUACUAGUAGAUCUCAACAUUACUAUAAUUAAAUGGCAAUACCAACAUGUAUUCAAUACAUACAUUCGGAAAUAGAGGAUAUGCAAAUCGAUGCAUUGCAUUUCAAAUCUCUUAUUGAACAAGAAAAGACUCAUCAUCAUGAGGAAGGAUUGUGCUUGUAUUGUGGAGAGUCUAAGCACAUUAUUCAACAUUGCUCAAAGAAGUGACACAACUAUAAAAUGAGGAGUACGGUGAUCAAAAAAGAUAGCAUGUCGGAAAAGAAAUUUGUCUAGCUACAAUAGAGACCCUGAGGUUGGAACCUUGUACAACAUCUAGUGAAGGUCCUAUUCUCUCCUCAGAACCCUCUCCAUGUUUCACGAUAAAUGUUAUUCUAAGACCUAAAUAUCACAAAGCCUAUGCCUUGGUAGAUUCAAGAGCCUCAACAUGUUUCUUAGAUGAAGAAUUUGCUAAAAGACAUAGCAUACUUUUAGUGAAGAAAGCUAAACUUGUUCAUGUAGAAGUCAUAGAUGGUCGUUCAUUAUCUUUGAAAGAUGUUACUCAUGAAAUCCUUCUCAUAGAAGUAGUAACUAAUGGUCAUAGUAGCUUUGUAAUAUUUAAUAUCAUUAGAUCUCUCUCUAAUUCAAUCAUUUUAGAUUUAUCAUAGCUAGAAAAAUAUAAUCCUAAAAUAGAUUGGACUUCUCAUAGUCUUGACUUUUGUGAAAGUAUAACUAAGAAUGUACUUAAUCAAGUAGAAAGUCAUAAGUCUAGUACAAUUAAACUUGUAUUUGUAGGUGCAAGAGCUUUCUUACAUGCUGCAAAAGUAGGAUCACCUUGCGUCAUUUAUGCCACACUUGUUUCUACUGGUGGAAAGACUUCAAAAGGCAUUCCAAGCCAAUAUCAAGAUUUUUAUGUUGACUUCUUAGGAUACAUCAUUUCAAAUGAUGGACUUAUGAUGGAUCCUAAGAAAAUUCAAACUAUUAUGGAUUGAAAGAUGUCAAAAACGGUAAGAGAUGUCCAAUGCUUUUUAGAAUUUGCCAACUAUUAUCGGAUCUUCAUCAAAGACUUAUUUCAAAAUGUAGCUCCACUUACAUGUUUGACUUGUAAAAAAAAAUUUCAAUGGAAUCAAGAAGCGGAAGUAACAUUUGAAGCUUUGAAGACAACCUUUGUUUCUGCACCAAUCUUGUAUCACGUUGAUUUUUUUUAAGCCAUUUUUCAUGAAAAUAGAUGCAUCAGACUUUGCUUUGAGUGCCAUACUGUCAUAAAUGGAAAUAAAUGAUAAACUUCAUCCAAUAGCUUUUCAUUUCAUAAAUUUUCAACAGUCGAGAUCAAUUACGAGAUCCACGAUAAAGAACUUCUUAUAAUUAUGGAUUUGUUUCAAAAAUGGCGCCAUUAUCUAGAAGGUGCUUCUAGCCCAACUACCAUUGUCAUUUUGUAACAUGUCUAUAUGAUGAAAAUAUAAAUGAAGAAGAUUUAUUAAUAUUUAGUCACCUUGGAUGUUAGAAGCGGUGGCCAAUUCUAGUGCAAAUAUUGAGAGGCCAGGUUCAGUUACCCCGUUACAAUCAGUCGGGGCAUACUUACCAGUAACAAAAUGCUCCGUUCGAUUCCAAUAACGGGAGUCAGCAGAAAAGGGAAAUUAUCAAUUCAACGACGAGUGAGCCUGGUUCGAAGAGCCAAUUGGAUCCAAUUUCAAAAGACUUCUAAUCUAGGUCCUAUUAUGCACUUCUUAUCUAGUAUGAGACCUGGCUUGGUCGGGCAACCCAAUGUGAUCCAAUUACGGGGCUUUGAUUCCGUUUCAGGCUGUUCCAUUCUUUGUGCCGUUCCAAGAAUGUCCUUUCUGCAAAAAGAUCUCUUAAAGGUAAAAAUGGGGGAGAAAAAGCGAGGUCAUCUGUUCUAAUUCGGAGAGUCUAAGACAAAAGAAUAGGAUCUUCUCAGGAUAAAAGAGGAGGGUAUGUUAAGAAAUGGUUUUUUUUCAAGAAUCGAGGUUUUUAGGUUGGAGAACUAGCUUCAUGCUUUUGGAAAGAAGACAAAGAAUUGGGGUUUUUUUUUCUAUAGGGUUUUGGGAAGACUGAGAAGAGGAUUGCUGAAAGUCAGUAAUAUAUUGAUGAACAAGAUUUUUCCAGAAAGAAGAAAAGGCUGGUACUCUUGAUUGUUGAUGGAAUGGGAGAUACUUCUGUGGUUGAAAUUCAGAGUUGUCUAGAAGGUUGAGUAUACUGAAUGCAUGCAUGGUUGUGUUAAUCUGACUGUACGGAUAGAGGAUACCUGCCAAUAGUUUAAAGAGGUAUUGGGAGUUGGCAAAUUGGAGGUUGUUUAAGAUUUCUGUGAUAACUGGGGACCUACCGACAUGGAAAAGAGGAAUAUCGGCGAGCGGCUAAGGGACACGGAUGCGGAUUGUAACAUAGCCUCACAAUCUGUAAGCCGGUUUGAACUGGAACUUCUUGAGCAUUCAAAAGGGCUUAUAGAGACACUAGCGAUAGAUGUUUCAAAAUAAGUCGGAAGGAUAGAUUGAGGAUCAUAGCUUGUCGAAGUUUACGGUCUAGGAUUAAGGUAAUUAACAAUAAAGAUAAAAUAAAAAACAUAAAAUAAAUAAAAUAAAAUAAAAAUAACAAAAGAGAUUGAAGUUAUAUAGGGUCUCUAGGCAUUUUAUAUUGGAAUUAAGCUUUUACAUUGCAAUCCGAUAUAGAUUGUAUUUGGGUAGUCAAGAAUCCAAUAGAUUGCUUGAGUACUAGCGAAAUACCAUACUACCUCCUACAACCAGAUGCCCGACGCAUUUUCAAGCAAGAUAGCAUGUAAUACAACAUAAGUGGUGAACCCAACGUGAAAGCUUGAGGUGGAAGGUAUUGGAUUUCGUUUGAUUUUAUUUUUAUGGAGAACGAAAAUAAAAAUUUUGAAGGAUCUUUGGGAGAAGUUUCUGGCGGGGAUUCUUCUAAAGGACAAGGUAUGCACAUGGAUCCAUCUAUUGCUAGUAUGUUUCAAGCCUUUUCAUUAUCAAUGCAGCAACAACAAAGAAAUGAUUGAAAAGAAGCUUUGGCAACCAAAGCAUUGCAAGCAGUGGUCAAUAAAAUUGAUCAAUUUGAUGGAAGGAAUAUUUCAAGGUAUAUUUAUUUGAACUUGCCACGAUACCGGAGAUAAGAGACCAUAUUACAUCGAUUACGGAUCGUUAUGGAAAUUCAUAGAAGGUUUUUUCACAUGCAUUGAAAGACGAAUAUUUCUUGAAAGAUGUUGAUCGCGUUAUUAAGAAGCUGUUUCUGGAAUAGAUUGAACGGCCUAAUAAGAAUUUACAAGCAACAGAGCUACUAAGGAAAUUUGAGAGGCAGUACUCUCAAUUAUCGAAGGUAGAAAAAUUGACAUUGGAGCUGAACAAAGUUGAUCUAUUUCUUCAAGCUACUAAUAGAGAAUUGCAAGGAAAAUUAGAACUCUUUCUUGAAGAUAAAGAAGAAGAUGAAGGAUUGACAACAAAGUAAAAGAAUGUUGAAGAUGCGGUGGAGUUGCUUGCAAAAAAAGAAAGGAGGAAGGAUAGGAGCAAUAUUCCGAAAACAAUACAAGCACUCAAAGCUCCAGUACGUACAACACCACCAACAAUGCCUACAGUUCAACCUUCGACAUCCUUAUCAAAGAAAGAAGAUAUGGAGAUGGAAGAAAUUAUACGAGGAAUGCGAGAUCUUCAAAUCAAAUUGGCAAGACUUGAAGAGAAUACUUCUACAAACAAUUUGAAGAAUGUUUCAAAACAAGGAUAUGUACAAAGAUGCAUUUGGUGUGAUGACGCUUCACACACUAAGAAAGAUUACAAUGAAUUUAAUAAUAUGAUACGGCAAGGAAUUAUUUGCUGGAAAGAUGGGAAGAUAGCAUUAAAAGAUAGGGAGGAUCUUCUUCAAACCAAUUUUGGUAAGGGAGGAAUGAGAGCAUUGGUUCAAGAUUACUUAAAAGAGCAUGAAACAACAGCACGAGAAAGUGCAAGUUAUGGUGCUAGAGUAGAUGAUGACCUUGGUGGAAGUACGGAAACUAGUGAGUUUUGGGCUUCUGCCAUUUCUACAAUGCAAGAAGGGAAAUUACCUCAAGAAGAGUUAUUGAGGACUGCAGCUACAAUACGAGGUACAACAGGUUGGGAGGAUCCUGUUGAGUCUCUUUCAGUUCAUGCAUAUAUUGCUAAGAGCCAACAUGAAGCUUUGAUGGAAGAAAAGAGACGAGAAAAUUUUGAUGAUACGAGAGAAGGAAAUUCUUCUAAGAGACAAACUCGAGGAGACAAGGCUCGGAAGGCAGCUUCACAAGAAUUGCCUGUAAAGGAUACCUCAACAUCAUUGAAAGAAAAAAUAAGGGAGACAAAAGAUAAGGGCAAAUCAAUUGCUUAUAAGCUACUUUUUGACAUUGAAGCGGUAACAAAUUUGAAAGGGGUAUUAGAAGAACGUAUAUUAAAUGCUAAGGUGGAAUUCACAUUGAAAGAAGUUUUGGAAAUUGUAAAGAAGGAGUUUCAUGAUGUUAUCAUUGACAGCAUUAAGCGAAAGAGGCAAUUAAUGGACGAAACUGGAAUGAGUCAUGCUAUUGAUGCAAGAAUAUAUAAAGAUGAAGAAGAGGUUGAUAUUGGUUACAAGCAACCAACAAAUGAAAAGAAUGGAUAUAAUCAACGAGUAUGUUUUAAAGAUUAUAGUGAUAAGGAAAUAGAAACUUUGAGCCAUUAUACUUGAAAGCAUUGGGCAAGGGCAACUAUUGAGGUAUUGAUGAAAGUAGGAGAUAUAGAAGAACCAAUUGUUGCUUUAGUCGACCAUGAUUCUGAAAUAAAUCUCAUGUCUAAAGAUCUUUAUAAGAAGCAAAAAUGGCCAAUUGAUAUGGAACAUGGAUGGGCAAUACGAGCAGCUAAUAACACAUGGGACGAAUUAUAUAGAGCUUGUCUAGAUGUCAAAAUUUGGAUUGGGGAUGUUGUGACGGAGCAACAUUUCUUUGUUCAAGAUACAACGUCUUAUCCGUUGAUUUUAGGACAACCUUAUAUUACGGUAACACAGAUGGAAACAAAAGUACUUGACGAUGGUUCUGCUUAUGCAAGGGUACGUAGCGAAGAUAGAAGGAAAGUUGUAUAAUUUCUAACAGUACCUCCUAACCAUGAACGGAAUCGAGAUAGGUUGAGGGAGAAACCAUUGCCAAAGAUUGUUGAAGGAUUAAAGGAUUUUGGAGAGGUACCACUAUAAAGCGAGAUUAUGGAGGUACAAAAGAGGAGGUACUCUCGCGAGAUAAAGGUGCCUUUGAUGCGAGUUUUAUUGGUAUAUUGGAGAAUGGAAAUAUUAUGUAUAAGAAAGUUGAUGAUUUUAAAAGAAAAGAAAGAAAAAGAUUAUAUAAUAUUGAAGGAGAAUUACGCAAGUUAGGUAUAUUACAAGAUGAUGAGAGGAUUUAAGGUGUUUAUGAAGAAAAUAGAUUGGAAGAUUCAUUGAAAUUGAUUACAUCUAUUGGGUUAGGAGAUAAUGAUAAGAUUGUUGAGAUUCAUUCAAGAGCAGUUUAUACCAUACUUGAAUCUUUUCAAGCACCAGAAGUCACUAUAGAGACGAGAUAUAAAACGGCAAAUAAGAAGGUAAAGCCUGUUGCCGGACCAUUACCAGAAGAUUUUAAAGAACAAAUGGAAGAAGCAUCAAAAGAAGCAAGUUUAAGAGAUCCAAUGAGUAUUGAACAUCAGUUUACUAAAGAGACUUUUGAAGAAUUGAAGAUUGGUUUUGAUGGUUAUUUAUUGCCGGAGGAAAUUACUUGCUUCAAAAAGAUGUUGGCUAAACAAGGUAGAUCUUUUGCCUUCGAAUCUUAUGAAAUUGGGUGUGUGGAUCCGAAUAUUAUAACACCUAUGGUUAUCUUCACUGUAUUACAUGUACUUUGGAAUCUAAGACGGAUUCCAAUACCAAGGGCACAUUUACCUAAAUUGGUGGAACUAUUAAAAUAAAAGAUGAAGAUGAAAAUAUUGAAACCCUCAUUUGCGCUGUAUUCUAGUCAAUGGUUUAUGGUACCUAAGAAGAAUGGGUCACUACGGUUUAUUCAAGAUAUGCAACCGGUGAAUGCUGUAACUGUCAGGAAUGCAAGAAUUGGACCUAUUGUGGAUGAAUUUGUUGAGACGUUUGCGGGAAGGGCGAUCUAUUCAAUGGGUGACUUGUAUUCAGGUUAUGAUCAAUUUCAACUUUCCGAAGGAAGUAGAGAUAUGACAACAAUGAGGACACCACUUGGAUUGGUUAGAAUGUGCACUCUUCCUCAAGGCGCGACCAACUCAGUUGCGCAUAUGAUGAAUGGGAUGAAUAAGGUAUUGAAAGAUUUUAUUCCGAAAAAAACUAUGCCUUUUUUGGAUGAUGUUCCUAUAAAAGGGUGCAGAGAAGGAGACAAGGAUGAAACUUUAGAUAAGAGGGGGUGUCACAAAUAUGUUGUUGAUCAUAUACAAGAUUGUGAAAAGAUUUUAACUCGGCUUGGAGAAGUUCAUCUUACAUUAUCGAGUAUGAAGUCCGUAUUUGGAGUACAAGAGGUUGUGAUUGUUGGACAUUUAUGUGGAUCUUACGGAAGAAAACCAGAUCCGACUAAAGUUGAUGCAAUUAGAAGGAUGAAAGAAGAUUGUGAUUUUUUAAUAGAGGUUCGUAGGUUUUUAGGUGCAUGUAUAUUUUAUCGAAUCUAUAUCCCUCAUUAUGCUCACGUAGCGGAUCCAUUAUAUGAAUUGUUAUGCAAGGGCUACGGAUUUAAAUGGGAAGAAAGGCAUAUUCAGGCAAUGCAAAGAUUAAAGAAAUUAUUGAUGUCACCUCCAAUAUUGAGGAAGGUUGAUUAUAAGUGCAAUAGACCAGUGAUUCUUAUUGUGGACGCUAGUCCAAUUGCCAUUGGAUGGACUGUGGGUCAAGAUGAUUCAAAUGGGAAUAGAUUUACAGUUCGAUUUGGGGCUAAAGUUUUAAGUAUUUGUUAGCGUGCAUAUUCGCAAGUCAAAAGAGAACUUUGGGGAGUUGUUUUGGCUAUGAAAGCUGAAAAGGACUAUUUGAUUGGGGCAGUAAUAGUAAUUGAAACAGAUUGCUCGCCAUUGUUUGGAAUGAUUACUAACUGUUCAACGCCAGAUAUUGCAAUGUUGAGAUAGAUUGCUUAUAUUAAGUCACUAAAUCCGGAAUUUAAGCAUGUUACUGGGAAGGACAAUUUAAUAGCAGACAUGCUAUCUUGAGCAAGAUACGAGAGGGAGGACGAAAUGGUUGAAGACAUUGAUGACGUCGGAUUGAAAUUCUAUUUAAUAUGAAAUUUCAACAGGGAAGACAAGCUAAUUCUUGAAGAAUCUUAUGAAGGAGAAUUAUUGGAUAUUGGUCAUUACUUGAAUACCUUGACUAAGGAGGGGAAUUGGUCUACAGAGAAACUCAAACAAAUAAGAAAAAAAGCAUAUGGAUUUUUGCUUCGAGAUGGAUUCUUAUGGAAGAGACCGAAGAAAGGAAUUGGGAUGCCACAACGAGUGAUAGGUAAAAAGGAAGAAAAACUAAAAUUAUUAAAAGAGUUUCAUGAUAGUUUAUGGACAAGGCAUAGAGGAAUCUGGGCUACUUUUGCUAAACUCAAGGAACGAUAUUAGUGAAAAAAUAUAUAUCGAGAUGUGCUCUCAUUUGUAGAGUCAUGUGAAAUCUGUCAAUCGUAUUCUAAUAUCCGACAUCGAGAUGGUGUUUAUCUUACAUAUCCUCUGGCUAUUUAUUUGAAAUGGGUUGUUGAUUUGAUUAUUAUGUCAGUUGGAUUAUGGCAGAUGAGAUAUUUGAUCUUAACUCUUGAAGAUUUAUCAAAUCAAGUAGAAGGAAGAACAUUGAGGACAAAAUUUAUAGAGGAGAUUUGUAGAUUUUUGCUUGAAGAUGUUAUUUGCCGCUACGGAUGCGUAGGAAAAAUCACUGUAGAUCGUGGAGAAUUAAAUGCACAAGAAGCUCGUAAGUUCUUUGAAAGAUGUGGAGUUAAACUAUCACUGACUACUGCUUAUAAUCUGAAAGGGAAUGCAAAAAGUGAACGUGGUCACCCAUCGAUUGUGAAAGCAUUAGUUAAAGCUUGUAUUGGGAAAGUUAGAGAGUGGCCAGGGCUUUUUUCAUUUGCAUUAUGGACUGAUCGAACAACACAUAGUUCGGUGACAGGAUAUAUGCCAGUAGAACUUAUGACAGGUCAAAAACUAAUUAUGUCGAUUGAAGAAAAGGUACUUACUUGGAGUAUGCUACUAUGGGAAGAUGGAUUGACAAGAGAAGAACUUCUGGCUAUUAGGAUUCGACAAUUGGAACAAAGAUCAGAAGAUGUGCAAAUAGCAUUGGAAAGGUUAAAAAGAGCAAGGUUACAAAACAAGGCGUGAUUCGAUAAGCAACAUGGAUUAAGACCUAAAGUAAUUGAAGAAGGUGAUUGAGUACUUGUUUAUGAUAGUAGUCUGGAUAACCAAUAUAGCACUUUACAAAAGUUUUCAAAAUGAUGGUUUAGAUCGUAUGUGGUAACAACUGUUCAUGACAAUGCGACUUAGUCAUUGCGGGAGUUAGAUGGCACAAGGUUAAAAAUACUAAUUGCAGAGAAGGGAGUGAAAAUAUUGAAAUGAAGACAUGCGGUGAUGAAUAUAGAAGACCUUAAUGAAGGUAUAGAGAUUCUGCAGUAAGUAGAUGAAAGUGAUUUGGAUAAUGAAGGUGACGAAGACGAACUGGACAAAGACGUAGAGAAUAUAUUCUAAAUCAAACAACAAUUGGAUAAAUUGGUGCAUACCGGAGGAUACAAAGGUUCAAAGGGGGUAGAUGUUCUGUUGUAAUACGAGUAUACCGUGAAAAUAUAAAGAAAGGGGACUUUUAUUAAUGUUCAGUUACUUUGAAUAUUGGGAGCAACGACCAAUUCCAGUACAAAUACUGAGAGGCUAGGUUCAAUCACCCCGUUACAGUCAGCCGGGGCACACUGAAAUGCUCCGUUCGAUUCCAAUAAUGGGAGUGAGCAGGAAGGGGAAGGACCAAUUCAAUGACGGAUGAGCCUGGUUCGAAGAGCCAAUUGGAUCCAAUUUCAAGAGAUCCAAUCUAGGUCUCACCAAUAUGAGACCUGAAUUGGUCAGGCAAUCCAAUGCGGUCCAAUUUCGGAAACAUCCAGGUUACUACGGGCCUCUUGCCCAAUAUGAGACCUGAAUUGGUCAAGCGACUCAAUGUGGUUCCGAUUACGGGGUUUCGAUUCUGUUUCAAGCUGUCCUGUUCUCUGUGCCAAUUCAGGAAAUGUUGUUUUUGGUAAAAGGAUCUCUUAAAGGUAAAAACAGAGGAGAGAACUCUGACGGUGGAGCCAAUUCCGGAUUCAAGAUGGAAGAUUGAAGAAAUUCAGAGGCUAGGGUUUGAAAGAGGAGAGAAUUAGGAUUAAAGAAGAGGAUAGGUUAAGAAAUGGAAGGGGAGGAGAAUAAGUUUGGAAAGAAGGGUCGGAGAGCGGGCUUCAUGCUUCGUGAAGGGGAAAAAAGACAGAGAAUUGGGUUUUUUUUUUCUUCAUAGGGUUUUGGAAAGAUUGAGGCAAUCGUUGCUGAAGUUAAUGUUGUAAUGGUGAAUCGAGAUUUUUAAUGAAGUGGGUGUGAUUACUCUUGACUGUUUUGUGAAAUCGAAGUUAUGUUUGUGAUUGAAGAAUUAAAAGGGUAUCUAUAGGAUUGAGUAUGCGGAGUAAAUGAAAUUUAUUGGGUUAAUCUAACGAGACAGUCAGUGGAUACAAGAUUGUGAGUAUAAAGCGGUAUCGAAGAUUAACAGUUUGGGUUGUUCGGGGUUCUCUGUAACGUCUAGAGACCUACCGGUUGGGACAAAAAGGAUUUCGGUGAGUAGUCGAAGGACAUCCGUAUAGAUUUACAGUGUAUUCUUGCAAUUGUUUAUAUUCCAACAGUCAAAAAGCGAUAAACUGCUUGAAUAUUAGCGAAUCUUCAUACUACCUUCUACAGCCAAAUGCCCGAUGCAUUCUCGAGUAGGAAAGCGCGUAAUACGACACCAUUUUGGGAAUGUCUUUUUUGUAAAAAGAUCUCUUAAAGGCAAAAUCGGGAGGAAAAAGCAAGGUCAGCUGUUCCAAUUCAGGGAGUUCAAGGCGAAAGAAUAGGAUCUUCUGAGGAUAAAAGGGGAGGGUAUGUUAAGAAAUGGAUUUUUUUUUGAGAAUCGAGUUUUUUAGGUCGGAGAGCUAGCUUCAUGCUUUUGGAAAAAAGACGAAGAAUUGGAGGUUUUUUUUUAUAUAGGGUUUUGGGGAGACUGAGAGGAGGAUUGCUGAAAGUCAAUGAUAUAUUAGUGAACAGGAUUUUUUCGGAAGGGAGAAAAGGCUGGUACUCUUGAUUGUUGAUGGAAUGGGAGAUACUUCUGUGGUUAAAAUACAGAGUUGUCUAGAAGGUUGAGUAUAUUGAAUGCAUGUGUGGUUGUGUUACUCUGACUGUACAGAUAGAGAAUAUCUGCCAAUAGUUUAAAGAGGUAUUGGGAGUUGGAAAAUUAGAGGUUGUUUAAGAUUUCUGUGAUAACUGGGGACCUACCGACAGGGAAAAGAGGAGUAUCGGCGAGGGCCAAGGGACAUCGGUGCGGAUUGUAACAUAGCCUCACAAUCUGUAAGCGGGUUUAAACUGGAACUUCUUGAGCAUUCGAAAGGGCUUGUAGAGACAUUAGCGAUAGAUAUUUCACAACAAGUCACAAGGAGAGAUUAAGGAUCAUAGCUUGUUAAAGUUCACGGUCUAAGAUUAAGAUAAUUAACGAUAAAGAUAAAAUAAAAAACAUAAAAUAAAUAAAAUAAAAUAAAAAUAACAAAAGAGAUUGAAGUUAUAUAGAGUCUUUAGGCAUUUUAUAUUGGAAUUAAGUUUUUACAUUGUAAUCCGAUAUAGAUUGUAUUUGGGUAAACAAGAACCCAAUAGACUGCUUGAAUACUAGCGAAAUACCAUACUACCUCCUACAGCCAGAUGCCCGGCGCUAUCGUGUUGUAACACGAGUAUACUAUGAAAAUAUAUAGGAAGAGGAUUUUUAUUAAUGUUCAGUUACCUCGAAUAUUGGGAGCAACAAUCAAUUCCAGUGCGAAUACUGAGAGGCUAGGUUUAGUCAUCCCGUUACAAUGAGCCGGGGCAUACUGAAAUGCUCAGUUCAAUUCCAAUAACAGGAGUCAGUAGGAAGGGAAAGGACCAAUUCACACGAUGGGUGAGCCUGGUUCGAAGAGCCAAUUGGAUCCAAUUUCAAGAAUCCAAUCCGGGUUUUCUUACCCAAUAUGAGACCUGAAUUAGUCGGGCAACCCAAUGCAGUCUAAUUAUGAGAAAAAUCCAGGUCUUACUACGGGCCUCAGCCAAUCUAACGCGAAGGACCAAAUUGAUCCAAUUUCGAGAACAUCCGAGUCUUACUACUGGACUCUUAUCCAAUAUGAGACCUGAAUUGGUCGGGCAACUCAAUGUGGUUCCAAUUAUGGGGUUUCGAUUCUGUUUCAGGUUAUCCUGUUCUCUGUGCCAUUUCAAGGAACGUUGUUUUUGGUAAAAAGAUCUCUUAAAGGUAAAAAUAGAGGAGAAAGCUCUGAUGACGAGAGCCAAAUCCGGAUCCAAGACAGAAGAAUAAAGAAAUUUAGAAGCUAGGGUUUGAAAGAGGGGAGAAUUAGGGUUAAAGGGGAGGAAGGUUAAGAGAUGGGGGGGUUUUUUCAGUGGGGUUUUUUUCAGUGGGGGUUUUUUCAGUGGGGUUUUUUUUUAGAUCGGGUUUUUGGAUCGAAGAGCUAGCUUCAAGUUCUUUUCAAGGUCACUAGGUUGGUUUCAUUAGGGGUUUUUGGAUCAAAGAGCUAGCUUCAAGCUCUUUUCAAGGUCACUAGUUUGGUUUCAUUAGGAUUUGUGAGGGGAGAACAAUCGCUGCUCAAAGUUAGUGUUUAUUUUGGUGUUUCGGAUUUUAUAUAAAACAUUGAUGGUUCGCAUUCUCAAUCGGUUUGUGCAAGUUGUGUAGCAUCUAUGGACCAAAAUUUGGUAUUGUCUGGAUAAUUGGGUGUGCUAAGUGUAUACAAAAAUUUGUGUUAAUCUAACAAUGCAAUCAAGAGAUAUCUGGGUUUUAGUACAAAGGGUUGUCGGAAGUUGGCAGUCUAGGGUUGGAUAGGGUUUCUGUGAUAUCUGAAGAUCUACUAGUUGGGUCGACGUAAAUUUUGGCUUGGUAAUAGAAGAUUUGGAGAUCAAGCGGCUAUUCAAUUUUGAGCUGGAGUUAAGGGUUGACAAAGGAGAAAUCACUUCUGGAGUUUCUACAUCAAAUUUCAAGGUUACGGCCGAGUGUCAUCAGUGCGGUUUUUGGACGUUUUCUUGCAAUCUGUAAGUUGGGUUGGGCUGAAAUUUUUUGAGCAUAUAGAAGGCUUAUACUGGUAUUUGGGUGCAAAAUUUCACACUAAGUGGACAAUUGGAUCAAAAGUUACAGCUUGUCAAAGCUCACUGGCUAGGGUUAGGGCUUGUUAAGAAAAACGAAAACAACUUAAUUAUAAAAGAAAUAAAGCAAUUAGAAUAUUGUAUAGUUAAAAUGACUAUGAGGAGUGUUUUUAAAUACUUGGAAAUUGAUAUUUCAAUUAUAUACUUCAUACAUGGAUAAAAUCUAUUAGGGUUUCUUUGUUAUUUGCAAAAACAACUAUACCUUCUACAGCCAGAUACCUAGUGUAUUCCCGAACAAGACAACACGUAAUACGACAGCGCGUUCUCAAGCAAGAUAGCACGUAAUACGACACAGUGUAUACGGUAUUGUGAUGUAACAUGGCUAACAAGUGAAAAGUUAAAAAAAAUAUCAUGUUUUGAGGAUCUCACUUCAAAAAUAUUGUAGCAAAUUAUCUUGGAAUAAUAGAUAUUAGUCAAAGGAUAGAAAAAUUAAAGGUGCUAAUACUACCUUUUUACAAAUUAGGCUUCUAUUUACUUUGUAAGGCCAUAAAUAAGACAAAAUAAGGUAGAUUAGAAAAAUAAAGGAUAUAGGCAUAUGUAGGGAGGAGUUAGGAGUGCAAAUUAGUAAAAAUUACCUCAAGAAGAUGAAAGUUGAUACCCAAAGAGGACCGGUUAUGAACAUGGGUCGAAAUCAGAUCCCAAGGCACAAAACUAUGCUCUGAUAGAGAUUCAAGGAUUCUUUGGAUAGAUUAAAGAAUCGAAUUAGGAAGCAAACUUGUAGAGGGAUUUUUGAGAGAUGAUUUCGUAUCGUUUGGAUUAGUAUUGGAUUUUUGAGGGAUUUUCAAAGCGAGAGAUGUUCUCUGUGAAUUUAGAUCUUUGAGAAAUAUAACCGGUUUACAAAUUUUUGGAUUUCGUGACUUUUGUAGCAUUUUUAAGGGUGAAAAUUUAGAAACUUAUUGGUAUACUUAUUAUAAAUGUGUAUAAGAGAUUUGAGAUGAAUCGAAUAUCUAGAUUGAUAUAUAUGAAGGUUUUUAUGGACUAAGGUCUCAAGAUUUAGGGAUUUGAAGACUAGUAAGUUUUUCUUAGAUAUCUAGCAAUCUGCUAGUUGAAUUGGAGAGAUUUUUGGUUUUAUCAGUAGAAGACUUAAUUUCCUAAAUGCAAGUAAAAUUUGGAAGUAAUUGAAUAAUGUAAGAAGGAGAUAUUGGCAUUGGAAGUUUGGCAUCAGAUUGGAGAAGGAGAGACAGGCCGACAUUUGAGCAGAAUUUUGAGGUCAUCAACUAAUUGAUAAGUGCGAUUUUCUUCAAAAUUUGUGUGCUGGUUGUUAACUUGAACUCCAAGAAGUAUAAAAAUUUUGAAUUAGAAUCAAUGGUUCAAUCUUUAGUUAUUUAAACUUCAAAUCUAUAAUUAGGAUUUGAUUUGGAUUAGGAUUUGGUUUAGGAUUUAGGGUUUGGUUAGGGUUAGUAUUUGAUUAGGUUUUAGAGUUAGGGUUUGAUUAGGAUUUGACUAGAAUUUGUUUAGGAUUUGGAAUUGAUUAGAAUUUGUUAGGAUUAAGAUUUGUCUAAGAUUUGACUAGGAUAUGUUUAGGAUUUAGGGUUUGUCUAGGAUUUGAUUAAGAUUGGAUUAAGAUUAGAAUUUGAUUAGAAUUUAAGGUUUAUUUAGAUUUUUGUUAAGGUUUGACUAAGUUUUUUUUAAUAUUCUUUUAUAUUUCUUUAAGAUUUCCUUGUGUUUCUUUUAUAACUUCAAUAAAAUUUAAUUGAGCUUACUUAAUGUUUGAUUAUGAUUGUUAACAUUUAAUUAUAAUUUUUCUAUAAUCCUAUUGGAUUGUUAGGACAUUUUGUUGUAAUUUUCUUUUACCUUCCACAGCCAAGUGCCUAGUGCAUUCUCAAACAAGACUUCACGUAAUAUGACAAUGGAUCAUAAGAACUUUAAAUAUUUUAUGUUAAUAUGUAUUUUGAAUCGUUGCCAAGCCUGUUGGAGUAUAUCUAUGUCAAGAUUCGAAUUCAAGAUCACUUAUCAACGAGGAAAACAACAAUAUUUGUGAGAUGCAUUCUCUAGAAAAACAUACCUUGUACCAAAGGAAGGAGAUGCUGUUUUUGAUCAAUACCAGAUAAUUCUCUUGGAGCUAGAGCAUCUUUAUCUUCAAGCAAUGAAAUUAACACUAAUUGUUGAUUCAACUUUCAUUAAGCAAGUUUAGUCAAGUAUAUCUUCUGAUCUUCUUAUUCGUGGUAUUAAGGGAAAUCCUUCAAAGUCUCAUCAUAUUUCUAAGUUUGAAUUUAAGAAGAAUCUACUAUAUUUUGAAGAACGCCUAUACAUUCUAGAAGGUGAAGCUCGAUUACAUGUUUUGUAAGCUCGUCAUAAAUUUUCAAUAGCAGGACAUUUUGGGUGCAAUAAAACUUUGGAACUAAUAUCCAGGGACUUUUGGUGGCCCCAAAUGUAGAAAGUAGUCAAAGAUUUUGUACAAUCUUAUGAUGUUUGCUCAAGAUUAAAAACUCUUUGUCAUUGAUCUUAUGGACUUUUUGAGCCAUUAUCCAUUUUAGAACAACCAUGGUCUUCUCUUUCUAUAGAUUUCAUCACGGAUCUUCCAAUCUCAGGUUCUUAUGACUCUAUAUUUGUGAUAGUAGAUUAUUUUACAAAGAUGGCAUAUUUUGUACUAUGUACAAAAAUCCAUCACAUAUAAAGAAACAACUAAGCUCUUUCUUGAUAAUAUCUAUCUCUAUCAUAGAUUAUCCAAAGAUAUUAUAUCAAAUAGGAGAACUCAAUUUGUAUCAAGAUUUUGGCAGACUCUUUUCAAGAUUCUAAAAGUGGAUAUAAAACUAUCUUCGCCAUUCCAUCCUCAAACUGAUGGAAAAACAGAGUGUGUUAAUCAAGUUGUGGAGUAGUAUUUAAGAUGUACUAUUAACUACCAAUAAGAUGAUUGGACAACUCUUUUGCCAUUGGCAGAGUUUGCUUAUAAUAACAUGAUACAUUCUUCUACAAAAUAAACACCUUUCUUUGCCAAUUAUGGUUAUCAUCCAUGACUUGAUACUUUUGACUUUUCAAAAGUUGAUAAUCAUGUUGCAAAAGAUUUGGUAAUUCAUUUCUUAAAGCUACAUGCAACGAUGAAGGUACAAUUAAAAGAAACUCAAGAACAUCAAAAGAUCAAUGCGGAUGUCUAUCGAAAGGAACAACCACCAUUCCACAUCGAUGACAAGAUAUGGUUAUUUCAUUGUAAUAUCAAGACCACUUAUUUUUGUGACAAGUUGGACUAUUGAAGGCUUGGACCAUUUUCUAUUUCUGUACAAAUCAAUCCAGUUGCAUAUCAUUUAUACCUACUAGAGUCAAUGAAAAUCCAUCCAGUAUUCCAUGUCUCUCUUCUUGAACCAUACAAGAUAAUGGACAUACCAAGAAAAAGACAAGCUCUACCUCCUCCUAUAGAAGUAGAUAAUAAUGAAGAGUUCGAAGUGGAAGAAGUCUUAGAUUCAAGGCGAUGCCAAAAUAAAUUAGAAUGUCUUAUCCAUUGGCAUGGAUAUGAUGUUAGUGAAUGCAUAUGAAAGCUAGUAAAGAAUCUUGCAAAUGCAGUAAAGGCGGUGGAGGCUUUUCAUCGACGACAUCCAUCAAAAUGAAGAUAAAAACCUUCUUUAUCAAAGAAACAAGAUCUAGGUAAGAUAACAUUCUACUUUCAAUCCUUGUUUGUAGCUUCUUUAUAGUUGUGACGCUGAAGAGAUGGAGAACCAACAACCAAUAGAUUCAACUCAAGAACCUUUGUUUGCUGACUUGUUGGAUGAGACAUUACGAUUGUCACAACUUUUAAGACGAUGUAAUCGAGAUGAAGAUCUUCAAGAAUGACAUAUUCUUUCUCAAAUAGAUGGCAAGAUACAACGCAUUUGGUAGCACGACCUUGGAAGGGACUCUUGAUGUUUGGUGAUUUUACUAGAGGUUGGAACAACUCUUGAUAGUGUUUCAAAUGAUUUAUUUGAAGGAAGUUAUAAAGGCCUCAAUAAUGAUCAAAUAACUGGGUCGUCUUUCUGCCCUGGUAUAGCACACUAUCGAUGGUUGAGAGGCCAUAUCAAUCAUCUUCGAAGAGAACAUAGAUCACAUUAUGUGGCAAAUAUAAUUCGUUGCAUUAUAGAUUUCCUCAACAUAUGAUGACCGCUUCUCGUGGAACUUGUCUUUAGAAGGGCAGGUAAUGUCACGGACAUAUAUAUGUAAGCCAAUAAUUACAUGUAUAAAUAGGUAGAAGUAAGUAAAAGUAGAUAAAAAUAAGUUAAUUCUAUAAUAUUUACUAUAGUAGCUUCCUAGAAGCUUUAUAGAUGCUUCUUUGACUUUAUAGGUGUCUUUAAUUGAUUUUUUGGAUUAAAAAUGUAGUCAACAAGUUUGCCAUGUACCACACAUGUUGUUAGCUUGAAGACCAAAUUAACUAUAUGGUCCACAUGUAGAAAAACUUACCUUGUAAGUCAAGGCAUGUGUCUUACAAAGUCAAUACACAUUGGAGGUCCUAUUGAACAUAGCCAUGUAGCCCUUACUUAGAUAGUAUAUAUAGAGAUAAGAGUGAAGUCUUCUUCACUCUUGUAAACUCUUUUCUUACUUCUAGUUUAGUUUCAAGGGUCUUUAGUUUUCUUGACUUUUGGCAAUAGCCAUUUCAAUUUAUUUUUUAAUAUAUAUAUUAAAUUAUUUCUAUUUUUUCAUCUUUCUUUGAAAAAAGUUUUACUUUUUUAUUUGUUUUUAUCAAGUUCUUGUCUUUGACAAUACCUUAUAAAUGAUCAAGAGGAUGUAUUGAAAAAGACAUAUGAAAAAGAAAUCUUGAGGUUGAUUGAUACCUAUAUCUUAAGAAAGAAGUUCAAGGUGAGAAAGCUAAGAUAUGAUAUUAUCCUUGGUAUGCCAUGGCUAAAAAAGAUAAUUAUACAAGUUGAUUAGAUAACAAGAACAAUCUCAUUUAAAGUUGGCGGACGUAAAGUGACUCUUAACACCUCCGCAUGAAGUGAAGAGGUAAGAUAAUUUGUAACCAAAGACUUACUUGUAAGAACUACUUUUAUAAAGAAGCAAAUAUAGCAUAAGUAAUUAGUAUACAUGGUAGUUCUAAAUUUUGCAUCAAUAGUAGGAAAGACAACUAAAGGAGUAGAAUGGGCAAAUCAACUUAUACGAUAAUAUUAGAAUAUCUUUCUAAUUGACCUAUCUAGUGGCAUGUCUCUUGAUCGAGGUGCCCCCUUUCAAAUAGAAUUAUUUCUUAGAAUCAAACAAGUAAGCCAAUCAAUUUAUUGCCUAGCAUCAAAAGAACUUGAAAAACUACAAAAGAUAUUAAAAAAACUCUUAGAAAAAGACCUCAUUUAAGAAAGAACAUCUUUAUGGGGAGUACUUGUACUCUUUGCACUCAAGAAGGAUGGUGGAUUCAGCCUUUGCAUCAACUAUUGAGGCCUCAAUAAGCAAAUUAUUAAAAUUGUAUAUUUACUUCAAUGCAUGGAUGAUCUUUUUGACCAAGGUAGAAGUGCAACCAACUUUAGUAAAUUGGAUAUUCAGAGUGGCUAUUAGCAAACAUCUAUUGCAAGAAAGGAUGUAGAAAAGAUGAUAUUUUGUAUACACUAUGGACAUUUCAAAUAGUUGGUUUUACUUUUUGGCCUUAUUAAUGCUCCAACAUCUUUCAUGGAUUAUAUGAAUAGAUUAUUUUAAGAUCUUUUGGACAAAUAUAUAAUUAUCUUCAUUGAUGGUAUUCUUAUAUAUAAUAGAAUCUUUAAAGAAUAUGAGCAAUACCUAUGAGAAGUCAUGCGCCAGUUAUAAGAUAGUUAUUUUUAUUAUAAACAAUCAAAAUAUGAACUUUAGAAGUCAGAAGUCACCUUUUGGAAUAUGUCAUAUCCUCCAAAGGCAUGCGUAUAGAGAAAGAUAAGGUGAAAGUGAUAGAGGAUUGACCAAAUCUCAAAGAUGCUAUUAAAGACUGCUCAUUUUUAGGCCUUGUUGGAUAUUACCACCAUUAUGUUUGACGAUUUGUACAUAUUAUUGCCUCAUUGAGAAACCUAUUAGAUAAGAGUGUCUCCUUUGAAUGGAAAUUGGAGUAACAAAGUACCUUUGAUAGAUUGAAGGAGGUACUCAUUAUUGCUCCAAUAUUGUAACCGUAUGAUCUUAACCUUCUUUGUAUGCUUGACAUUAAAGUUUCUAACUUUGCUAUUGGAGUGAUUUUUCAACAAGACUUUGGUAGGAACCUUCAAUAUAU
rnacentral:lncRNA from 1 species